ensembl:lncRNA
AUUUACAGGCUUUAUUGGUGGGCUCCACUAAAAUUAAGAUGGAAACUAUGAAGUCUUGCGCACACAUAGAGAAUGUGCGUGGAGGAGAAGAGAUCAAUAGAUGUGGCACAGUGUGCUGAACUCUAUUACCAGAAACAGGAUUUCAAGCCUCAACUGGGCAAAUAUGUAACAAUGUUUUCUCAACUCCAGACUCAAACAGAGUCCAACCCCUGGUUCCAGAGCCUGAGCCAUGUGUUGGCUAAGACUAGUCAGUAUCUCUCAACGUCCAGCACCAACUCAGGCUCCCACUCCACCUGAGAGAAUACUUGGCAUGCAGAUUGGUUGAGCCAGGGAUCGAACCACCAACCUUCCAAUCAGUAGGUGACCUGCGCUACCUCCUGGCUACAGCCACCCCACAGCCCACACCCCAAUUGUCAGGAGCCAGGAGCUUUCCUUCUCCUCUGUCACAGACCCGUCAGGCCCGCCUCUCUCCAUGACAGCUGGAACAAGCUCCAGCCCCACUGUGACCCUAAAAUUGGACGAGUGGAAGAGAAUAAAUGAAUGGAUGUUUAAUAACUGAAAGAGUAAUGCUG